CUCUUGCAGCAAGUAACACGCGAUGGCGAGGCAGAUGGCCACCCCGAUCCAGCUCCCCUUUAUGGUGCUCGCGAACAGGCUCGGAGCCACCACUAUCAGGAGAAUCAGAGCGCCGGGCAUCUCCAGCCAAUCUGUCAAAAUGGAUGAUUGAAGAAUUGAUGUCUUUGCGUACCUGGGAAGUGCCGAGGAAAGAAAAGGCGCAGGACGACUGCGACGAAAGCAAUCCACUUGCCAAUCUCUCCCCUGCAGCACGGGGUUCAAAGUAUCUCAUCUCAAGCAAUCACUUCUUGCAUUCUGGUUUAGUUAAUAGAAUGGACAGCGGAUGUAUGCAUUCAUUCAGCAGAUUACCUGAGAAUGGAGAACAACAACGAAGGGAGGCUCAAGAAGAUGUAGGGGAUCAACAGGGACGUGAGCAUGUUCGUCCUCCAGUGUGUCCGGUCCAAGACCAGCAAGUAGCUGCAUCAUGCACCAGAUUAUUCUCCAUUUGGUAAUAUUACAGUGAACAAGUCUCAGCUCGCAGAGGUGGUGGUGAUGUUGUUUGAGAUUUGCAUCAUUUUCGCCCGAACUUGUUCAAUGAGAUUACGGACGGGGAAAGAGAGAAUGGAAUUGUAUGUUCGAGUUGGGCUCAGCUGGGCCGGCCCAUCUCGCGAGGCGCGAUCCGGUUGCCUCAGUCCAUUAUGAUAUAUUUGAAUAUUGAUAAUUCUUUUCUUUCUUCUUUUUUUUUUUUACUGAAAAAACACGUUGGUUAGUUUGACUUGGAGAUUUUAUCCA